rnacentral:misc_RNA from 1 species
GAUGAAGAACGUAGCGAAAUGCGAUACUUGGUGUGAAUUGCAGAAUCCCGUGAACCAUCGAGUCUUUGAACGCAAGUUGCGCCUCAAGCCAUUAGGUUGAGGGCACGUCUGCCUGGGCGUCACAUAUCGUUGCCUGAUGCCAGUUUCCUCGUGAUGGGUGACUGUGCAGGGCGAAUGAUGGCUUCCCGUGAGCAUUGUUGCCUCAUGGUUGGUAGAAAAUUGAGUCCUUGGUAGGGAGCGCCGUGAUAGAUGGUGGUUGAGUGACGAACGAGACCCAAUCAUGUGAGACCCCUACCGAAUUUGGCCUUCAUGACCCACAUGCGUCUUUGGAACGCUCAUGACGAGACCUCAGGUCAGGCGGGGCUACCCGCUGAGUUUAAGCAUAUCAAUAAGCGGAGGA